ACUCGUCUCAAGUACCAUGAGGGAAAGAUGAAAAGGACUUUGAAAAGAGAGUUAAAAGUGCCUGAACUCGCUGAAAGGAAAGCGGAUGGAACCAGUCGUGCUUGGCGAGAUUGUUGCGUGCAAAGGUGACUGCUCACUGCUCGUAGCGUAAGCGCAGCAGCGGGUUUCGAUCUGGUCGCGCGCGAUGCUUCUUGCCUUGUUCGUCAUCGUUGGUUUGGAGGCGCGGACAACUCUUGGGACAUGGUAACUCGCCCACGGGCGAGCGAAUGUGCCUUGCAGAACUCACCUCCAAACUGAUGUCUCUUGUUAGGUUCUGUUGCCGUACGCGGCACGUUCUUGACAAAGCGUGGUGACUGAAUGGUUCUAUUCGACCCGUCUUGAAACACGGACCAAGGAGUCUAACAUAUGUGCUAAGUCUUUCGGNGUACCAACCGGUUAAAGCGUCGAAGUCGAAAAGUUGAAAGUUGGACUUGGACGUAACGGAGUAAGUAGGAAACCUAGUCCAAGUCCAAGGCCCGAACCGAACGU
rnacentral:rRNA from 1 species